rnacentral:rRNA from 1 species
AUUGAACGCUGGCGGAAUGCUUUACACAUGCAAGUCGAACGGCAGCACGGACUUCGGUCUGGUGGCGAGUGGCGAACGGGUGAGUAAUGUAUCGGAACGUGCCCAGUCGUGGGGGAUAACGUAGUGAAAAUUACGCUAAUACCGCAUACGAUCUAUGGAUGAAAGCGGGGGAUCGCAAGACCUCGCGCGAUUGGAGCGGCCGAUAUCAGAUUAGGUAGUUGGUGGGAUAAAGGCCCACCAAGCCAACGAUCUGUAGCUGGUCUGAGAGGCCGACCAGCCACACUGGAACUGAGCCACGGUCAAGACUCCUACGGGAGGCAGCAGUGGGGAAUUUUGGACAAUGGGCGAAAGCCUGAUCCAGCCAUUCCGCGUGCAGGAUGAAGGCCCUCGGGUUGUAGACUGCUUUUGUACAGAACGAAAAGGUUUCUACUAAUACUAGGAGCUCAUGACGGUACUGUAAGAAUAAGCACCGGCUAACUACGUGCCAGCCGCCGCCGUAA